rnacentral:rRNA from 1 species
UACAGAGGGUGCGAGCGUUAAUCGGAAUUACUGGGCGUAAAGCGCGCGUAGGCGGCUUUUCAAGUCGAUUGUGAAAUCCCCGGGCUUAACCUGGGAACUGCAGUCGAGACUGUCUAGCUAGAGUAUGGGAGAGGGAAGUGGAAUUUCAGGUGUAGCGGUGAAAUGCGUAGAUAUCGGGAGGAACACCGGUGGCGAAGGCGGCGACCUGGGUAGAUACUGACGCUGAGGCGCGAAAGCGUGGGGAGCAAACAGG